UGUCCUCCCCUUGCCAGGGAGCUCUCAGGCGAGGCAGAGGCACCCGGCGGCUGCCUGCUCCAUCUGCAGGGGCCAUCUUGUUAUUGACAUGUGUCGGGUCUCGCGCUGGCUUCCUGCAGUAGCCGGCUUGCAGCGCGCUCACAAAGAGCUGUCUGGCGUUAGCAGUGACCCCAGGCUGCAGGAAGUAGCUGGUUUUGCUUGGACACAGCGUGUCAGUAAAUGGUGCAAACUGCCACACACAGAGACAAGAAGCUGCAGUGCACAGACCAGCAGAAACCAAACAGAAACCACAGAAAAUAAAAAGACACACCAGGCCUGGAAAGAAGGGACUCGGCAGAGGAGGAAGAUGAUGACAAUGCAGCUUCAGGAUGAUUGUGUAAUGAUGCAGGUGGAAGCCAGGAACAACUGUAUCCCCUUCUACAUGGAAAACAUAUUCAAAGAGAGAUUUCCCCCCUGGUGUUAUAUAUGUCUACAAGCUUUAAACGGAUGCCUUUUGAAAAAUUUUUAGUCUCAGAGCCAAAUAUCUUAACAAGACAACUGUAAAGACACUGAUCAGGUGAACAGGGACUCUCUGGGGUCAUGGUGCCAUGCAAGGUCUCUCAGAAGAAUAUCAGUUUCUCUUUCUUAGCUGAGCAAGAACUUUCUGUGUCCAACAUCAAACCAGCUUCAGUGCUAAUAUAUGGUUACUAUAAAAGAGAAUGAACACCUAUUUACAGUCUGAGCAAAAUGCUAAUCAAGUGAUUGAAAAGUCUCCAGUGAAGACAAUGGAUUUUUUUGUUUUAAAAAACUACAGCUGUAGGGACAGAAACAAACUCUGUAUCUUUCCACUGAGGAGGCAAGAGUUCAGCAUACUUGUAUCAUGAAUGGAAGAUCACAGCCUAGGUUGGCUGUAAUACACUGGAAGGAUUUGGGGCAAACACGUCUUGCUGAGUGCAGCACAGUCUGUGGUCAGACAUCUCACCUGGAAAGCAGCUGCAAGUCUGUAGCGAUUAGAGUAACGUGACAAAUGUGGAAUGUGAACUGAGGAAAGAAGCUGGACAGCUUACUCCCCCUCUAACUAUAGACUGUUAGUAAAUGUUACACUUACAAUCUGACUGACUGCCUGCUGUGACUGUGCAGUAGGUAACUUGGCUAGAUUCAACCCCAGUGUGUAUAUCCCCUCCAUGAACUCGCUCCAGAUCUAUAAGACCACACAUGACCCUGGUUCCACACUCAGACUGAGAACAGUAGUUCGUCAAAGCAUAUAACAUUCCCCAUAAUAAACUUCUCAAAUUCCA